rnacentral:lncRNA from 1 species
AUUAACCUGUAGAUUAGAAUAUUUGAGGGAAGAAGGUAAGGUGGGCUGUAUCUAAACUGAGGAAACACUGCAAAUCUUUCGGAUGAUGUGGAGGGAGCUGGUAAUGCUGGGAAUUCAAGCAUAGUCUGCUAUUAAAGAGUUGAAUCUAACACUAUUUUACUUUUUCUUAAGUGGCCUGUUGUUAAGGAGUUGAAUGCAGCACUUAGACUUGACUUCUUUUGGUUAAGCUGAUGAUAUGUACGAGUUUAACACCUUGCGCAUCUCUAGAUGGAAUACAAUUGCCUCCGUAUGUUGUUAUCUGCCCCAUUUCCAUGUGUAACAUCAUAUUAGUUGUCAUCAAUCUCGUAAGCAUUUAAAGGUUUGAUUCCAUCUACUCUGAAAACCGCUUUUCACCUUGUAUUCCUCGUUGACAUUUGAGACUGUUUGAGAUGAAUAGGCUAAUGAUCUGCUCUGAGUUAAGCAGCAGAGGACACUGGAUUAAGUAUUAGCAGUCAAAGACUCUCAGCUUUGAUUUUCAGUCUCUUAGCAAGUGCAACACGUUACUCUGGUCAUGUUGCUAAUGGUAUCGGUGCUCCAUUUAUAGUUCUUUUUCUGCAGAAUGCAGAUAAUGAAAGACCAAAAUUUAGACUCUGGGCUUUACUUCGUUAGAUUGCAGUUCAUUUUGAGUUAAUCUUUUGAAAAGAAAAAAACAAACACCUGUGUGUGUGUGUGUGUUUUUUUUUUCCUGACCUUCAUCAAAAUCAACAAGGUUCUGAGCAAAGCAAGAGGUGCGGAAGUCUCAUUGAAGGAGACGAAGGCGAACGCUCAGCGCUCUGUUCGGCUCAGCCCAAACGCAAAACAGCGGCUGGAACAGCUCUGGUCAGAACAGACUGCUUAGCUCCUCCUUGGCCUUUCAGGACUUCAGCGGUCGCUCUCAAUGCCAGCCAGCAUCGUUCAGCUAUGACAAAGACAGAAUGCAGUUUUGCCCGCUGUUGA